rnacentral:lncRNA from 1 species
UCCUUGGCCUCUUUAAGGUCCAACUCCAGCCCAUUUAAUGAACAUUUUCAAACCAGUUUGAAUAACAAUAUGAAUCACCACCAAUUAGCUGAAUAUUACAGAAAUAUCUCAAAACUCACAUUCUACAAAUUUCCAUCACAACCGUAUUUUAUACAGAUCCAAGCAACCUACAACAUUAUGUAUUCAAGCAUUCAGCUGCUGAAAUACUCUAGAACAGGAAAGAAUAAAUAGAACUAUCUAGUGCUUCACAACAUGAAAACAUGUAGUCUGCUUCUUCAAGUACUGAUUCUUCCUUAGCAAUGACUGGUUCUUCAAGUACUGCUUCUUCCUUAGCAAUGACAGGCUGAUGCAAAACAUCUGGGCAUUCAAAAGAGAACAAAAAGUAUGUCACUGAUAUAAGAAAUAUUACAUGAAUACUUUUAAAAUAAAAACUGAAGGCACAUGAGAUGGAAACAAGUAAUUUGAGAUGGAAAGUUAGUCAACAGAAUUUAUAUAAAAGAUCUUUUUGCAUUACAAUUAUCUUAUGUACAUAUGAAUGACACCCAAGUAAUUUGAGAUGGAAACAAGUACAUCUAGCAAUCUAAGAUGUAUAGUGGCACCAGCAAAGGAGCACGACACGGAAGAAUUUUAGCUUUACAUAAUGUUUACAAGAACAGGUCCCUGAUACAGGAUUUAGCUUGUCCUCAACACUGUUAACAAGGUACUGAAAGUAGCUAUGUGCAUCAGCCUCACCAAGUCUUAUCAUGAAUUGGUUGCUUUUAAAAACUAUACUAUAUUUCUGGACAGCAAACUAAAUAGAUGGAUGCUCUCAAACCGUACAUCCAAACAAAGCAAAUAAGUACUCUACGAAAACCUUAGAACAUGCUUUACAACUCAUAUGUAGAGGCUAACUUGAAAUUAUGAGCAUAACAAACUCGUUUUUCAGUUAGAAGCUCGCUGUCCAAAACUGUCAGGUAGUGUAGUUUUUUAACUGAACCAAAUUCAGUUUACACAGAGGUAAGGAACUACUUCAAAAACUUAGGUAAGUAAGGAACUACUUCAAAAACAGAGGUGCUAACUAUGUUUACACAGAAAAACUGUACUAUAUUUUUGGACAGCAAACUAAAAUAGACGGCUGCUCUCAAACUGUACAUCCAAACGAAGCAAAUAAGUACUCUACGGAAACCUUAGAACAUGCUUUACAACUCAUAUGUAGAGGUUAACUUGAAAUUAUGAGCAUAACUAACUCGUUUUUCAGUUAGAAGCUCGCUGCCCAAAACUGUCAGGUAGUGCAGUUUUUGAACUGAACCAAAUUCAGUUGACACAGAGGUAAGUAAUGAACUACUUCAAAAAUAGAGGUAAGUAAGGAAUUACUUCAAAAACAGAGGUGCUAACUAUGUUUACACAGAAAAACGAGUACGGUAUCUAUUUGCCAAACUUGUAGUAGCUAAGAAUUCAUUCCUCACAGAGAAAAUGAACUGACUGAGACUAUGAUAUGAUUGUCGGCGGCCUAUGUUUACGGUAUCCUAUUAACACAGCAUAAAGAAAAAAGAGCAUGUCCCGUCGUCAUUAGAUUAAAUUUCUACUAGUACACAGUGCUAGAAUCAUAUGACCUAAAUACACACGACCUAAAUAAAUCCCAAUCGAACCAAAUCAUGCAACAGAACCAAUCAUGGCGGGGCUCACAGCAUCAAAACAGAAAACACUAGAAUCCCAGCCACCGGGGCACCAGAGCUGUAGAAUUAACCUGUAUGUGCCCAUGGCCAUCUCUACGGCGCGUUUGCUGACGGCCGUCUCGAAGUGUUCAAUCUCAUCCACAAGAAACGCGUGCCUGAAGCAUACUGCCAGGCAAUGCUUGUGUGGCCUCGAGCUCGGAGGAAACCCUUCUCAGAUACUUCCUUGUUAACUUCACUGACUGGAUUUUGAUCUGCAGAAUCAAGACACUGGACUUUUCAAGCAAUGUUGUUUUUGUUCAGAGAAAAUAGUGGUGACUGCCACUUGCAGAUUAUUAACAGGCACAGGCCCAUGCUCAGUUUACAGGGCCUAUUUAUUCAGCUAAUUUACAGAUCAGUUGUGUACUGUCUACAAAAAUAAACAUUUUGGUACCCCAAAGUUGCAGAUCAUGUAUGAUUGCCUAGUUAGGAGCAGAAUUCCAAUGGAGAUAAUGCACAUGUAGCAGGUACGUGAAGGACAUCUAGUGCAUUCCAUUUGCCUUAAUCUUAAAUCGCGGUUUUGUAAUGCAGAUGCUUUGCAGCUUGGUCAUAGCAAAUAGUGUUGUCCAUUACUGAAACACAGGCUGGAGUUGGGCAUAAAGACCGAAACACAAGCCCAUUUUCCGGUAUUUUUUGGAAUAGGUCAUUCCUGGUUUCUAGUUUAUACGUAUGUAGGUGCCAUCUCCACUGAAGAUGGUUCAAACUACUACUCCAGUACAUACUAAUAAAACUUGACACAGGCUAGUUCAAACUACAUACUAAUAAAACUAGAUCAAGUUGGUGACAGACAUCAGAUGUUGGAAAUAUGCCCUAGAGGCAAUAAUAAAUUAGUUAUUAUUAUAUUUCCUUGUUCAUGAUAAUCGUUUAUUGAUAGGAAACUCAGAUACAUGUGUGGAUACAUAGACAACACCAUGUCCCUACUAAGCCUCAAAUUGACUAGCUCGUUGAUCAAUAGAUGGUUACGGUUUCCUGACCAUGGACAUUGGAUGUCGUUGAUAACGGGAUCACAUCAUUAGGAGAAUGAUGUGAUGGACAAGACCCAAUCCUAAGCCUAGCACAGAGAUCGUGUAGUUUGUAUGCUAAAGCUUCUCUAAUGUCAAGUAUCAUUUCCUUAGACCAUGAGAUUGUGCAACUCCCGGAUACCGUAGGAAUGCUUUGGGUGUACCAAACGUCACAACGUAACUGGGUGGCUAUAAAGGUGCACUACAGGUAUCUCCGAAAGUGUCUGUUGGGUUGGCACGAAUCGAGUGUCACGUCCCUAGCCUUGCUAUGCACUUGGACUAGCUUGUUGCUGCAUCAUGUUUAAAAUUUCAUUUAAACUUGAAAUGGGGGCUGAUAAACCCUAGCAACUAAUGAAUUCAACUAGGGUCAAAAUAAAAUCUUUUUCAAUGAACCUGAAAUGCCCUUCUAAAAUGUUCAUCAUCUUUGCCUUGGGUGAGAACCUCUGACAAAAAUGGUGCACACUUUUCUAGGACAUCAUAAGGUCACUGAAUUAAAUCAUAUAGUAUUUGCAUUUGGGCAUUUAAAUGCUAUAAAAUAUUUAAAAUGUCCAAAUAAUCCUAAACUGAAAUGUUCCAUGUUGGAUAUAUUCCAAACAGUGGCCAUGAACAGUUUGGUGAUUUUUGAGUGUGCCUAAGUAUUUUUAAUAAAUCCCAACAUUUAUAGAAGUAAUAGAAAACAUAAUCAAUAAAUAAGAGAGAGAGGGAUUUUACCUGCUGUGCAACCCACCUGGCCAUGCCACAUGGUGGCCCAGUUGGCCAGCCCAGCCACCUGGCCAAGCCCACCUCCUCCUGUCGUCUUCCUCCCCUCGCCCCGAAGCAGCUCGGUGGCGAGCGCUGGCGAUGCCGUGGCCUCCUCCCUACCUGCCUCACGCCCUCGAGGCCCUUCUAGCGCCACGGAGACGGCCACGCCCCCCCUGGACCCCUCAACCUUUUUCCUCACUCCCUGGUUCUCUCUCCCUAUCUAGUUCUCUCCUCGCAGCCGCCCGAGAGCGACCGCCGCCGCCGUUCGCCGCCACCGUGCCCAGAGCCACCCCCUCACCUUCCGCCAUGCCCCAAGGCUCCGCCUCGACGCCACGGAGCUCCAAGACGAAGGACGCGCCUGCGGGAUGCCCGAAGCGACGCCAUCUUCAUCACCUUCAUCGCCGGCCGCCGGAGAUCCCUCUCGCCGCCCCGCUCGCUCCAGUGCUUCCCCGAGCUCGCUGAUGCCAUCGCUGCACCCGCCGUGAGCUCCUCUGUCGUUUCCCCCUCUCCCCUAACUCGUUUUAUUCCUCUAACACCGAUACCCGUCGGAGCCGAGAGCUCUUCGCCGCCGGCCAUGUCGCCGUCGUAGCCACCGUUGCCUAGAGCUGCAACCGAGCACGCAGCCGUGCUCAGUGCACCCCCAGGAUGCCAUAGCACCCAUCCGCACCCUCUGCUGUGCUCCCUAACGCAGACCCCGAUCUCGCCCGAACUCCGGCCGCCGCCGUGAGCUCGACUCCAACGAGUACAACGCACCCCGCCCGGUCCUUCCUGCUCCGUUGGAUGCGGAAGAGCACGGGCUCCCUUCUGGUGGUCUCCCCGCCCUUAAACGCAGCCCCUAGCGCCGCCCAGUAGCAGCUCCGCCGCGCGGAAUAGUCGCCGCCGGCCAAACUCGGGCGAGCCGAUGUGGCUCCGUCAUUAGGAGCUAACCCAGCUAACUAAACAACCUACAACCACUAACAGUGGGCCCCACCACUGGUCAAACCCCAGUCAGCGCUGGGUUUGACCGGGAUUAGUUCCUGUGUCACUGACGUGUGGACCCUGCACGUUAGGUUUGACCUGGACCUGGCCGUUGACUCGCUGACGUCACGCUGGCGUCAGGCUGACGCAGUUAAUUCUUUCUGGAUUUAAAUUUAAAUCAGGAAAUUCCAGGAAAUAACCAAAACUUCCAAAAUUCAUAGAAAAUCAACCGUAGCUCCAAAUGAGAUAAAUUAUAUAUGAAAAAUGAUCAGAAAAAUCCAAUCUAUCCAUCCGUACCAUUUUCAUGCAUGUUAGAACAACUUAUAGCUGCUGAUUAGCACAAAUCAUAUAAUGGCAUUUUAAUAUCCACAUAUGGAGUUUGAAUUUGAAUCUUGGAUUCAAACCAACUUCAUUUAAUCUGGUUGCUAGUUGCAUUAGCUCAAACUACAGCAUAUUGCCAUGUCAUGAUCAUGCAUCAUAAUGUGCAUUGCAUUGAUUAUGUUUCUUCUCUGUUGCUGGUAAUUGUUCCCACUCAGCAGACGUGGUUCCGACGAUGAGAUCGAUGGCACCGAUGAAGAGCUAUAUUAUCUUCAGAAGUGCCAGGCAAGCAAAACCCCCUUGUUCAUUCCGAUAAAAUCCCACUCUCUCGCCCCUGCUCUCUUUUACUGCAUUAGGACAACACCGAUUCAUCUGUUAUUUGCUGCGGUAGCUGAACCCCUUUAUCCUUUGCAUGACCUGUCAUUGCCACAGUAAAUAGAUGAAACCCACUAGCAUGAGUAGGAGUUGUUUGAGCCCUGAUGUGCCUACUCAUUCAUGCUUGUUGUCAUGCCUGCUAUUGCUUAGAGUUGUGUCAGGUCUGAUUCAUCGGGGAUGAAUCGGAGGUGUGUGAUCAUGUCCUACUGUUGAGAGCUAAGUGUGUGAACACGAUUUGGUAAAGGUAGCGGUGAGAGGCCAUGUAGGAGUACAUGGUGGGUUGUCUCAUUGCAGCCGUCCUCAGGAACUGAGUUCUGUGUUUGUGAUCCAUGAACAACUACUACCACACAUUGGGAUCCUUAAUUGACUCUCUCGACUUAUUAAUCAACUUGAUCUCUGUCCAGGAGUUGCAACUAGUUUCUGGUGUUUGUAGGUAGUGCUAGUAGUCUACCAAGUGGCACCCGGUACAGGUGGGCUUGGGACAGACUAGGCACCGUGGCACGGUGUACCAAGCAUAGAUCCACCCGUCGAGGUGGGCUUGGGAACCCUGCACACAUCGUUUGGGGCCGUGAGCGACACCCCGGCCGGAUCUCCUUGCGGAUGGAACCCGAAUAGGCGAUAAACCUGGACGAGAGACUUGUGUGGUUAGUCAGGUCGUGGCCGACACCCUCGCUGGGCUUCCGUUGAAGGUUGCCGAGUACAUGUUGUGUAAACGGCGGUAAGUGGUGAGAGCGUGUGUGAAGAAGUACACCCCUGCAGGGUUAAUAUGAUCUAUUCGAAUAGCCGUGUCCGCGGUAAAGGACUUCUGGGUUGCCUGUACAGUUCAUAGACGAGUGAAAGUGGAUACUCUAAAAUACGCAAGAUAAGCGUGCGUGCUAUGGAUGGCGUUCUCGUAGGGAGACGUGAGCGGAUCCAUAGUGGUGUAUUGAUAUGGUAAAUAUGUGGACUCGUGUGUGCCACCUCAAAAGAGUUACUUGCAGUCGUAGUUCAGGAUAGCCACCGAGUCAAAGCUGGCUUGCUGCAGUUAAACCCCACCAUCCCCUUGUUGAUAAUGAUGCAUAUGUAGUUAGAUCUGAUGUAAGUCUUGCUGGGUACAUUUGUACUCACGUUGCUUAAUUUAUGUUUUUGCAGAGAGACUUCAGUCUCGCUAGUAGUACCGCAUGGACUUCGACGUUUAGCUUGUUACCUCAGCUACGAUCUUGUGCCCUCGGCAGGAUCUGAUAGACAGUCAGGCUUCUCAGCCUUUUUCAUUUGUAGAUGUCUGUACUCAGACAUGUUAAGCUUCCGCUUGUGCUUUGACUUGUAUGCUCUGAUUGUUGGGUCAUGAGACCCAUGAUUGUAAUAUCUCGCUCCUCGGAGCCUAUUGAAUUAAAUACUUGAGUUGUAGUCAUGUUGUGAUGCCUUGUUGUAUUUGCACAUAUCGAGCAUAUUGUGUGUAUGUUAUUGAAAUGCUUGGUAUGUGUGGGAUCUGACUAUCUAGUUGUUAUCCUUAGUAGCCUCUCUUACCGGGAAAUGUCUCCUUGUGUUUCCACUGAGCCAUGGUAGCUUGCUACUGCUCCGGAACACUUAGGUUGGCCGGCAUGUGUCCUUCUUCGUUCCUGUGUCUGUCCCCUCGGGGAAAUGUCACGCGAUGAAUACCGGAGUCCUGUUAGCCCGCUACAGCCCGGUUCACCGGAGUCCUGCUAGCCCAGCUACAGCUUGGAUUCACUCGCUGAUGACCGACACGUUCGAUGCUGGGUCAUGGAUGCCUGUCCCUGUAAGUUAGUGCCACUUUGGGUUCACGACUAGCCAUGUCAGCCCGGGCUCCUUGUCAUAUGGAUGCUAGCGACACUAUCAUAUACACGAGUCAAAAGGCGCAAACGGUCCCGGGCAAGGUAAGGCGACACCCGUGGGGAUACCGUGCGUGAGGCCGCAAAGUGAUAUGAGGUGUUACAUGCUAGAUCGAUGUGGCAUUGAGUCGGGGUCCUGACAGCUUUGGUAUCAGAGCCUGACUGCCUGUAGGAUUACCAAGCCAAACUGGUCGAAGUUGAGUCUAGAAAUGCUUUAGUUAUGUAAGGAAAUUGAUUGUGGGAUGGAACGUAAGGCUCUUUUUACUCCUUAUACCUUAUGCCCUUCUGAUAUGAGUCAUCCUAUCUUUCCUACGGGGUUAAGGAACUAGGCUUUCUCUUUCUUCUAUCAGGAUCACGUGUUACUAAUCCGUAGUAUUAUAGGAUUGAUGGUUCUACGCUUGCGUUCAGUUCCUACUAUCUUUUGUAUGUUAACUGUUGAUCUCAGAACCUUGAUAUUAUGAUGAUCGAGUGGUUAUGCCACCAUUUUUGUAGCAUGUCUCCAAUAUUUUGAGCAUUUACAGCCGUUAUGUUGUCCGAGUCAUCCCAGGUUUCUAAAUAGUCUGAUGCAUUUGCAAAUCCCUUCCUCCUGUUCCCGAUGUGCCUUUGGUCAGAUUAAUCACACAAAUCAGUGAGUUGAGGUACUUUAUUGCCUUGACAUAUAUGUUGGAGCUAGUAUUAUGACCCUAGGUGUCCUAGGGGAUCAUCUAGUAAUCUAGCCAUGAUUGUGUCCUAGUGUGAUGAUUCUGGCCAUCAUUCCCGAAGGCAUCCCGUGAUGCCACAUAGUUAGUAGGCAUUCUACUUCUGGGUUUUGAACCCGAGAUUCACCCUACUUACCUCAUGUUGACAGUGUUGCUAGUUCCUUUAGGAUAUUAGUAACCUUUGCGAUAGUCCUCGAGGUCCAUGGUAUAUCGUUCUUCCAAUACCAUGAACCAAUAUGGCAGAAGUUCCUCGUUGAACCGAAAUAUCACAAUAGAGUGCUCUUUGAUGAGUUCUCGAUUCUAUGUUGUUACUCUGCCAGUCCUACCUUCUCUGCAUGGGUUAUCCAGAAGAAACAUGUUGAACUUGUUUCGACAUACUAACCUAUGCAUCCACUACUCAGAAACCGUAUGUUCCUUUGAGUUGUCCCGCUUUAGUUGUCUUUCGACCCUCGUCUACCAAUUGAUAGUCCAUAGUAUGCGUGCAAUCGUUCAUCGAUGUUUAUUAUUCUUGUGUUCCGUCAAGCCAUUCUAUCCCAGAAUGACUAGGAGAAAUGAACUCCAGAACCCCAUCCACAUCCAGGAUUGGGUCAAAGCAGUUGUAAUCCGUAAAUCAAAAUGCCAAUCCAGCUUUUGGUCUAUUCUACCCUGAAGUAUUACCCACUUUAUGUUAAGAAUAUCAUGGGAAUUGCACACCAUCCUAUGAACUCUUGAUACAAUGAUACUUCUCGCCCUCAUUAUUCAUUUCUUGGUUCCCGUGUUGUUGCAACCGGAAUGCCGACAGAUGAACUAUGAUGUGUGAAAUCAAUACCCUAGCAACCAUGUUGCUUGGUAGUUCAUGGACAAUAUUCUCAUUCUUAGCGUGGUGAUUAUUGAAUCAUCACCCUAAGGCUGAUCGUGCCACCUAGUCCAUUUUCCUGGUGCACACUUCGAUUGAUGAGUUAGGAUCUUGUCAAGUCCUCGCUCAUCUGAUCAUAUCAUCUUGCCCUGAAAAGAAAGACUGCUCUUGAGCUUAAUAGCAUAUCGGUGGUUCGUGAUUUUCCGAAUAUCUUCUCGGAAGUAUUACCAGGUUGUCACCUGACCGCUAUGUUGAGUUCGUGAUCAAGUUGGUUUAUUCCUGCAAACCACCCCUUCUCCAAGAGUCUGUGUUGGAUACCCCUGAGCUAGAUGGUUAAGCUGAACAGCAACUUGGAGAGAUGGAAAAUAAAAGCUUGCCUAACUUAGUUCAUUUCCCAAAAGGGAUAUCUUGUGUUUGUGUUUGUGUUGAAGAAAGAUGAUAUCUUCAUCGAUUGGUCCUCGUGAUCAAUUGCUGGGUCUAUCAUCUUGUUAAAACUUUGAUUUGGGUGUGGGCUAUCCUCAAAUCAAAUCAGAACCAACGAUGUUCGGUAUGUUGUCUUAUUCGUGGUUGAACCCUCGAGCAUACACCAUUACAUCUUUUGGUCUGACCAAUGCUAUCACCUUGUUCACCUAGUCGUGGAAUUCCAUCUUCAUGGAAAUCUCGAUGAUUUGUUGUUGAGCCCAUCAACAUCAUUUUAUCUUCUCCAAGAUCUUGAUUGGACAAUAAGUUAGUGUUGGAAACUUUUGAAAGCAUUUUCUUCAUGCUAGCUCAUGAAGUAUUUGUUUGAUGAAAGGAGUGACUUCCUCUUAUACACGUGCAUUUGGUGAAAGUUGCCGCCGUGAAUUUGAGAAAGUUAGUUUUGCUUCCUCUGGAAUCAUCCCAAGUCAGUCAUGCACACGUGCGAAGUAUUCUGUGGUCUGGAGACUUGCAACCUUCAUUCCAUAUGUGUCCCGAGCACACCAAGCCACUGAUUGAUUUGUUCAAGGAGAAGAAGUUCCUUCAUAAGAGCUAAUCAUAUGACUUAUGCAAGGACUUCGUUAUCCACGGUGAUGGUUCCCAACUAGAACUCGGUAGUGUUUUAUUGUAAGACUACCACGUGGUCAUUCUUGUCUAGGACAUCGUGUUCACAUGUGUGUAGCAGAACCAGCUCAUGUUUUGAAGUUUGCUAUCGUAGUUCAUUUCCCGAGAAUCUCGCAACGUCAUCUCGUCGAUUUGUGUUGCAAACUUUCAUUUUUUUCUUCCUAGACUCGAUGAGUCUGGAAUAUCCUGACACCAACCAGAUCUGAAUCUCAGGCAGAUAUGAUGGUUGGAACAUUUCCCAAGAACUAUAAUAUUGGUCCCUCGAUAACCGGUAAGGUGGAAGUCGUGGCCAACACACCCAGCCGGAAGAACUACUAUUGUAGUUUCUUGAUUGAGAAAGUUGGCCACCUCCCCAUAAGGAUUUUGUAGGAUUUACUCCCUAGUCGUUCCUUAUGGAUUUUUGUGUUCCUGAAGUCCGACCUUUACUUGAUGUUCUAGAUAUCAAACCAUUUCAAUGAAUGGGAUACGCUAGCACAUCAAGGAGAACAUUAGAAGUGGAGUGCUAAAUGUCUCUCGGUCGAUCAUCCAGAUUUUGUUUCCUUGGCCUCGCUAAGGUGAAAUCUGAGAAGGUGUUGUCUUCCUAUGGAUCUGCAUCGUCCAUCAUUAUCCAUCAUGGUAGUAUGUUGUGUUGCCAGGAUCCUUGACACGGAUGUUGGUAAAACCUUGAUGAAUAUGGAAAUGCUCAAGUUCUUGAGAGCACGCGCAAGCGCUAGGUGUUAUCAUCGGCACUAACUGGGAUUGCUCCUAGUUUCCUCGGUUAUGCUAUAACUUUUUCAAACAGUGGAUUCACUCUCUACUGUUGGGUUCUUUCCCAGUUACCAGAAUCAUUCCCAGCAUUUGCAUUUUGUUCCCAGCUUGCACCGCCAAUGUGCCAUUCUACCAUGGGUCCCUUCCAUUUCCGGUGGUAAGCAAAUUCAUCCAUUAUGUUGUCUUCAACAAGGUAAUCCACAUCAUACAUUCUAGCCCGAGUGUGUCUUUCUCCCGAACUCUGUCAAACGAUCGUUCGUAAAUUGCCUCAGGCUGGUGAGGAGAGUUCCAAUGAUCUAUGUAUCAAAAGAAAUUCUUUUGCCACUUAAGGGAUGAUUCCACGAGUCACCUCCUGUAAGAUGUCUCAUUAAGGUAUCAUGGCAACUCAACUCCUCGCUACGUUGACAACCGUUCACCACCUUCUUAAGCGCGAAAUUGUUGCCUACCUAGUGAACCCUCGUCAUCUGUCUCACUCCAUUUCUUCAGAUCUAUGCUUCGUGUCUCAGCUCGAGAGAUGUGUCAAUGUCUCAUCCCAUGAGUUGAUCCUGAGUUGUUCGAUCUUCGAGAAGAUCGAUCCUUCUAGAGUCUCCUUCUCCUCUCGUUGUCAUGUUGGCUGGAGUUCUCAGAGCAAGACAACAAGACAAAGAUGGUGAUUGAAUCAACGUUCAUUUGAAGUGCAACCUGGAUCGUGAAGAUUUCGUUAGUUGCGUUUUCCCCUUCAUCUUACCCUAUGCUUGAAUCUCGGGACGAGAUUUUUGCUUAGUGGCGGUGAGUUGUCACGUCCCUAGCCUUGCUAUGCACUUGGACUAGCUUGUUGCUGCAUCAUGUUUAAAAUUUCAUUUAAACCUGAAAUGGGGGCUGAUAAACCCUAGCAGCUAAUGAAUUCAACUAGGGUCAAAAUAAAAUCUUUUUCAAUGAACCUGAAAUGCCCUUCUAAAAUGUUCAUCAUCUUUGCCUUGGGUGAGAACCUCUGACAAAAAUGGUGCACACUUUUCUAGGACAUCAUAAGGUCACUGAAUUAAAUCAUAUAGUAUUUGCAUUUGGGCUUUUAAAUGCUAUAAAAUAUUUAAAAUGUCCAAAUAAUCCUAAACUAAAAUGUUCCAUGUUGGAUAUAUUCCAAAUAGUGGCCAUGAGCAGUUUGGUGAUUUUUGAGUGUGCCUAAGUAUUUUUAAUAAAGCCCAACAUUUAUAGAAGUAAUAGAAAACAGAAUCAAUAAAUAAGAGAGAGAGAGAGAUUUUACCUGCUGUGCAGCCCACCUGGCCAUGCCACCUGGCGGCCCAGUUGGCCAGCCCAGCCACCUGGCCCAGCCCACCUCCUCCUGUCGUCUUCCUCCCCUCGCCCCGAAGCAGCUCGGUGGCGAGCGCUGGCGAUGCCGUGGCGUCCUCCCUGCCUGCCUCACGCCCUCGAGGCCCUUCCAGCGCUACGGAGACGGCCACGCCCCCCUGGGCCCCUCGACCUUUUUCCUCACUCCCUGGUUCUCCCUCCCUCUCUGGUUCUCUCCUCACAGCCGCCCGAGAGCGACCGCCGCCGCCGUUCGCCGCCACCGUGCCCAAAGCCACCCCCUCACCUUCCGCCAUGCCCCAAGGCUCCGCCUCGACGCCACGGAGCUCCAAGACGAAGGACGCGCCUGCGGGAUGCCCGAAGCGACGCCAUCUUCAUCACCUUCGUCGCCGGCUGCCGGAGAUCCCUCUCGCCGCCCCGCUUGCUCCGGUGCUUCCCCGAGCUUGCUGAUGCCAUCGCUGCACCCGCCGUGAGCUCCUCUGUCAUUUCCCCCUCUCCCCUGACUUGUUUUCUUCCUCUAACACCGAUACCUGUCGGAGCCGAGAGCUCUUCACCGCCGGCCUUGUCGCCGCUGUAGCCACCAUUGCCUAGAGCUGCAACCGAGCACGCAGUCAUGCUCAGUGCACCCCCAGGAGGCCAUAGCACCCAUCCGCACCCUCUGCUGUGCUCCCUAACGCAGACCCUGAGCUCGCCCGAACUCCGGCCGCCGCCGUGAGCUCAACUCCGGCGAGUACGGCGCACCCCGCCCGCUCCUUCCUGCUCCGUUGGAUGCGGAAGAGCAUGGGCUCCCUUCUGGUGGUCUCCCCGCCCCUAAACGUAGCCCCUAGCGCUGCCCAGUAGCAGCUCCGCCGCGCGGAAUGGUCUCCGCCGGCCAAACUCCAGCGAGCCGACGUGGCUCCGUCAUUAGGAGCUAACCCAGCUAACUAAACAACCUACAGCCACUGACAGUGGGCCCCACCCCUGGUCAAACCCCAAUCAGCACUGGGUUUGACCGGGAUUAGUUCCUGUGUCACAGACGUGUGGACCCCGCACGUCAGGUUUGACCUGGACCUGUCCGUUGACUCGCUGACAUCACGCAGGCGUCAGGCCGACGCAGAUAAUUCUUUCUGGAUUUAAAUUUAAAUCAGGAAAUUCCAGGAAAUAACCAAAACUUCCAAAAUUCAUAGAAAAUGAACCGUAGCUCCAAAUGAGAUAAAUUAUAUAUGAAAAAUGAUCAGAAAAAUCCAAUCUAUCCAUUUGUACCAUUUUCAUGCAUGUUAGAACAACUUAUAGCUGCUGAUUAGCACAAAUCAUAUAAUGGCAUUUUAAUAUCCACAUAUGGAGUUUGAAUUUGAAUCUUGGAUUCAAACCAACUUCAUUUAAUCUGGUUGCUAGUUGCAUUAGCUCAAACUACAGCAUAUUGCCAUGUCAUGAUCAUGCAUCAUAAUGUGCAUUGCAUUGAUUGUGUUUCUUCUCUGUUGCCAGUAAUUGUUCCCUCUCAGUAGACGUGGUUCCGACGAUGAGAUCGAUGACACCGAUGAAGAGCUAUAUUAUCUUCAGAAGUGCCAGGCAAGCAAAACCCCCUUGUUCAUUCCAAUAAAUUCCCACUCUCUCGCCCCUGCUCUCUUUUACUACAUUAGGACAACACCGAUUCAUCUGUUAUUUGCUGCGGUAGCUGAACCCCUUUAUCCUUUGCAUGACCUGUCAUUGCCACAGUAAAUAGAUGAAACCCACCAGCAUGAGUAGGAGUUGUUUGAGCCCUGAUGUGCCUAUUCAUUAAUGCUUGUUGUCAUGCCUGCUAUUGCUUAGAGUUGUGUCAGGUCUGAUUCAUCGGGGAUGAAUCGGAGGUGUGUGAUCAUGUCCUACUGUUGAGAGCUAAGUGUGUGAACACGAUUUGGUAAAGGUAGCGGUGAGAGGCCAUGUAGGAGUACAUGGUGGGUUGUCUCAUUGCAGCCGUCCUCAGGAACUGAGUUCUGUGUUUGUGAUCCAUGAACAACUACUACCACACAUUGGGAUCCUUAAUUGACUCUCUCGACUUAUUAAUCAACUUGAUCUCUUUCCAGGAGUUGCAACUAGUUUCUGGUGUUUGUAGGUAGUGCUAGUAGUCUACCAAGUGGCACCCGGUACAGGUGGGCUUGGGACAGACUAGGCACCGUGGCACGGUGUACCAAGCGUAGAUCCACCCGUCGAGGUGGGCUUGGGAACCCUGCACAACAUCGUUUGGGGCCGUGAGCGACACCCCGGCCGGAUCUCCUUGCGGAUGGAACCCGAAUAGGCGAUAAACCUGGAUGAGAGACUUGUGUGGUUAGUCAGGUCGUGGCCGACACCCUCGCUGGGCUUCCGCUUGAAGGUUGCCGAGUACAUGUCGUGUAAACGGCGGUAAGUGGUGAGAGCGUGUGUGAAGAAGUACAACCCUGCAGGGUUAAUAUGAUCUAUUCGAAUAGCCUUGUCCGCGGUAAAGGACUUCUGGGUUGCCUGUACAGUUCAUAGACGAGUGAAAGUGGAUACUCUAAAUUACGCAAGAUAAGCGUGAGUGCUAUGGAUGGCGUUCUCGUAGGGAGAUGUGAGCGGAUCCAUAGUGGUGUAUUGAUAUGGUGAAUAUGUGGACUCGUGUGCGCCACCUCAAAAGAGUUACUUGCAGUCGUAGUUCAGGAUAGCCACCGAGUCAAAGCUGGCUUGCUGCAGUUAAACCCCACCAUCCCCUUGUUGAUAAUGAUGCAUAUGUAGUUAGAUGUGAUGUAAGUCUUGCUGGGUACAUUUGUACUCACGUUGCUUAAUUUAUGUUUUUGAAGAGAGACUUCAGUCUCGCUAGUAGUACCGCAUGGACUUCGACGUUUAGCUUGUUACCUCAGCUACGAUCUUGUGCCCUCGGCAGGAUCUGAUAGACAGUCAGGCUUCUUAGCCUUUUUCAUUUGUAGAUGUCUGUACUCAGACAUGUUAAGCUUCCGCUUGUGCUUUGACUUGUAUGCUCUGAUUGUUGGGUCAUGAGACCCAUGAUUGUAAUAUCUCGCUCCUCGGAGCCUAUUGAAUUAAAUACUUGAGUUGUAGAGUCAUGUUGUGAUGCCUUGUUGUAUUUGCACAUAUCAAGCAUAUUGUGUGUAUGUUAUUGAAAUGCUUGGUAUGUGUGGGAUCUGACUAUCUAGUUGUUAUCCUUAGUAGCCUCUCUUAUCGGGAAAUGUCUCCUUGUGUUUCCACUGAGACAUGGUAGCUUGCUACUGCUCCGGAACACUUAGGCUGGCCGGCAUGUGUCCUUCUUCGUUCCUGUGUCUGUCCCCUCGGGGAAAUGUCAUGCGAUGAAUACCGGAGUCCUGUUAGCCCGCUACAGCCCGGUUCACCGGAGUCCUGCUAGCCCAGUGCUACAGCCUGGAUUCACUCCCUGAUGACCGACACGUUCGAUGCUGGGUCAUGGAUGCAUGUCCCUGUAAGUUAGUGCCACUUUGGGUUCACGACUAGCCAUGUCAGCCCGGGCUCCUUGUCAUAUGGAUGCUAGCGACACUAUCAUAUACGUGAGUCAAAAGGCGCAAACGGUCCCGGGCAAGGUAAGGCGACACCCGUGGGGAUACCGUGCGUGAGGCCGCAAAGUGAUAUGAGGUGUUACAUGCUAGAUCGAUGUGGCAUUGAGUCGGGGUCCUGACAGCUGACUGGGAUUUGUCACUCCGUGUAAACGGAGAGGUAUCUCUGGUCCCACUCGGUAGGACAUCAUCAUAAUGUGCACAAUGUGACCAAGGGGUUGAUCACGGGAUGAUGUGUUACGGAACAAGUAAACAGACUUGCCGGUAAUGAGAUUGAACAAGGUAUCGGGAUACCGACGAUCGAAUCUCAGGCAAGUACAAUACCGCUAGACAAAGGGAAUUGUAUACGGGAUCGAUUGAGUCCUUGACAUCGUGGUUCAUCCGAUGAGAUCAUCGUGGAACAUGUGGGAGCCAACAUGGGUAUCCAGAUCCCGCUGUUGGUUAUUGACCGGAGAACGUCUCGGUCAUGUCUACAUGUCUCCCGAACCCGUAGGGUCUACACACUUAAGGUUCGAUGACGCUAGGGUUAUAAAGGAAGUUCGUAUGUGGUUACCGAAUGUUGUUCGGAGUCCCGGAUGAGAUCCCGGACGUCACGAGGAGUUCCAGAAUGGUUCGGAGGUAAAGAUUUAUAUAUGGGAAGUCCUGUUUUGGUCACCAGAAAUGUUUCGGGUUUUUCCGGUAACGUACCAGGACCACCGGGAGGGUCCCGGGGGUCCACCAAGUGGGGCCACCAACCCUGGAUGGCUGCAUGGGCCAAGUGUGGGAGGGACCAGCCCCAGGUGGGCUGGUGCGCCCCCCCAUAGGGCCCAAGGUGCAAGGAAGUGGGGAAGGGGUCAAACCCUAGGGCAGAUGGGCCCUAAGGCCCACCCUAGGUGCGCCUCCCCCCUCUCCCCCUCUGGCCGCCACCUAGAUGGCAUCUGGGGGCUGCCGCCACCCUUGGGGAGGGAACCCUAGAGGGGGCGCAGCCCCCUCCCCUCCCCCUAUAAAUACAUGAGGUCUGGGGGCUGCCCAACACACGAGUUCCUCCCCCUAUUGGCGCAGCCCUACCUCUCUUACUCCUCCUCUCCCGCGGUGCUUGGCGAAGCCCUGCAGGAUUGCCACGCUCCUCCACCACCACCACGCCGUUGUGCUGCUGCUGGAUGGAGUCUUCCUCAACCUCUCCCUCUCUCCUUGCUGGAUCAAGGCAUGGGAGACGUCACCGGGCUGUACGUGUGUUGAACGCGGAGGUGCCGUCCGUUCGGCACUAGGAUCUCCGGUGAUUUGGAUCACGACGAGUACGACUCCUUCAACCCCGUUCUCUUGAACGCUUCCGCUUAGCGAUCUACAAGGGUAUGUAGAUGCACUCUCCUUUCCCUCGUUGCUGGUUUCUCCAGAGAUAGAUCUUGGUGACAUGUAGGAAAAUUUUGAAUUUCUGCUAUGUUCACCAACAGUGGCAUCAUGAGCUAGGUCUAUUGCGUAGAUUCUUUGCACGAGUAGAACACAAAGUAGUUGUGGGCGUUGAUUUUGUUCAAUAUGCUUACCGUUACUAGUCCAAUCUUGUUUCGACGGUAUUGUGGGAUGAAGCGGCCCGGACCGACCUUACACGUACACUUACGUGAGACAGGUUCCACCGACUGACAUGCACUUGGUGCAUAAGGUGGCUAGCGGGUGCCAGUCUCUCCCACUUUAGUCGGAACGGAUUAGAUGAAAAGGGUCCUUAUGAAGGGUAAAUAGCAAUUGGCAUAUCACGUUGUGGUUUUGCGUAGGUAAGAAACAUUCUUGCUAGAAACCCAUAGCAGCCACGUAAAACAUGCAAUAAACAAUUAGAGGACGUCUAACUUGUUUUUGCAGGGUAUGCUAUGUGAUGUGAUAUGGCCAAGAAGAAUGUGGUGAAUGAUAUGUGAUGUAUGAGAUUGAUCAUGUUCUUGUAAUAGGAAUCACGACUUGCAUGUCGAUGAGUAUGACAACCGGCAGGAGCCAUAGGAGUUGUCUUUAUUUAUUGUAUGACCUGCGUGUCAUCGAACAACGCCAUGUAAUUACUUUACUUUAUUGCUAACCGGUAGCCAUAGUAGUAGAAGUAAUAAGUUGGCGAGACAACUUCAUGGAGACACGAUGAUGGAGGUCAUGAUGAUGGAGAUCAUGGUGUCAUGCCGGUGACGAUGAUGAUCAUGGAGCCCCGAAGAUGGAGAUCAAAAGGAGCAAAAUGAUAUUGGCCAUAUCAUGUCACUAUUUGAUUGCAUGUGAUGUUUAUCAUGUUUAUGCAUCUUAUUUGCUUAGAACGACGGUAGUAAAUAAGAUGAUCCCUCAUUAAAAUUUCAAGAACGUGUUCCCCCUAACUGCGCACCAUUGCAAAAGUUCGUCGUUUCGAAGCACCACGUGAUGAUCGGGUGUGAUAGAUUCUUACGUUCACAUACAAUGGGUGUAAGCCAGAUUUACACACGCAAAACACUUAGGUUAACUUAUCGAGCCUAGCAUGUACAGACAUGGCCUCGGAACACAAGAGAUCGAAAGGUCGAGCAUGAGUCGUAUGGAGGAUACGAUCAACAUGAAGAUGUUCACCGAUGAUGACUAGUCCGUCUCACAUGAUGAUCGGACACGGCCUAGUUGACUCGGAUCAUGUAAUCACUUAGAUGACUAGAGGGAUGUUUGUCUGAGUGGGAGUUCAUGAGAUGAACUUAAUUAUCCUGAACAUAGUCAAAAGAUCUUUGCAAAUUAUGUCGUAAGCUCGCGCUUUAGUUCCACUGUUUAGAUAUGUUCCUAGAGAAAAUAUAGUUGAAAGUUGACAGUAGCGAUUAUGCGGACAGUAGAAAGCUUAUGUCCUUAAUGCACCGCUCAGUGUGCUAAACCCCAAACAUUGUCUGUGGAUGUUGCGAACAUCGGACAUACACGUUUUGAUAACUGCAUGAUAGUUCAGUUAAACGGUUUAGAGUUGAGGCACCAAAGACAUUUUCGAAACGUCGCGGAACAUAUGAGAUGUUUCGAGGGCUGAAAUUGGGAUUUCAGGCUCGUGCCCACGUCAAGAGGUAUAAGACCUCUACGAUUUUCUUAGCCUGCAAACUAAGGGAGAAAAGCUCAAUCAUUGAGCUUGUGCUCAGAUUGUCUGAGUGCAACAAUCACUUGAAUCGAGUGGGAGUUGAUCUUCCAGAUGAGAUAGUGAUGUUUCUCCAAAGUCAUUGCCACCAAGCUGCUAGAGCUUCGUGAUGAACUAUAACCUAUCAGGGAUAGAUAUGAUGAUCCUUGAGAUAUUCGCGAUGUCUGACACCGCGAAAGUAGAAAUCAAGGAGCAUCAAUUUUUGAUGGUUGGUGAAACCACUAGUUUCAAGAAGGGCAAGGGCAAGAAGGGAUACUUCAUGAAACGGCAAAUCAGCUGCUGCUCCAGUGAAGAAACCCAAGGUUGAACCUUAACCCGAGACUGAGUGCUUCUGUAAUAAGGGGAACAACCACUGGAGCAGAAUUACCCUAGAUACUUGGUAGAUGAGAAGGCUGGCAAGGUCGAUAGAAGUAUAUUGGAUAUACAUUGUGUUAAUGUGUACUUUACUAGUACUCCUAGUAGCACCAGGGUAUUAGAUACCGGUUCGGUUGCUAAGUGCUAGUAACUUUAAAGAAAGAGCUACGGAAUAAACGGAGACUAGCUAAAGGUGAGAUGAUGAUGUGUGUUGGAAGUCUUUCCAAGGUUGAUGUGAUCAAACAUCGCCCGCUCCCUCUGCCAUCAAGAUUAGUAAUUAACCUGAAUAAUUGUCAUUUGGUGUUUGCGUUGAGCAUAGACAUGAUUGGAUUAUGUCUAUCGCAAUACGGUUAUUCAUUUAAGGAGAAUAAUGGUUACUCUAUUUAUUUGAAUAAUACCUUCAAUGGUCUUGCAACUAAAGGAGUGGUUUAUUGAAUCUCGAUCGUAGUGAUACACAUUUUCAUGCCAAAAGAUAUAAGAUAGUAAUGAUAGUACCACUUACUUUUGGCAUUGCCAUGUAAGUCAUAUUGGUAUAAUACGCAUGAAGAAGCUCCAUGUUCAUGGAUCUUUGGACUCACUCGUUUUUUGAAAAGUUUGAGACAUGCAAACCAUGUCUAUUGGUGUAUACGCAUGAAGAAACUCCAUGCAGAUGGAUCGUUUGGACUCACUUGAUUUUGUAUCACUUGAGAUAUGCAAAUCAUACCACAUGGGCAAGAUGACUGAAAAGCCUUGUUUUCAGUAAAAUGGAACAAGAUAGCAACUUGUUCGAAGUAACACAUUUUGAUGUGUGCAGUCCAAUGAGUGCUGAGGCAUGAAGUGAAUAUCGUUAUGUUCUUACUUCACAGAUGAUUCAAGUAGAUGUUGUAUAUUUACUUGAUGAAACACAAAGUCUGAAUUAUUGAAUGGUUCAAGUAAUUUCAGAGUGAAGUUAAAGAUCAUUGUGACAAGAGGAUAAAAUGUCUAUGAUAUGAUCAUAGAGAUGAGUAUCUGAGUUACGAGCUUUGGCACACAAUUAAGACACUAUAGAAAUUGUUUCACAAUUAAUACCGCUUGGAACACCAUAGUAUGAUGGUGUGUCCGAACAUCAUAGUUGCACCCUAUUGGAUAUGGUGCGUACCAUGAUGUCUCUUAUCGAAUUACCACUAUCGUUCAUGGGUUAGGCAUUAGAGGCAACCACACUCACUUUAAAUAGGGAACCACGUAAUUCUGUUGAGACGACACCGUUUGAACUGUGGUUUGGAGAAACCUAAGUUGUCGUUUCUUAAAGGUUUGGGGCUGCGACGCUUAUGUGAAAAAGUUUCAGGUUGAUAAGCUCGAACCCAAAGCGGAUAAAAUGCAUCUUCAUAGGACACAAAAAACAGUUGGGUAUACCUCCUAAUUCAGAUCCGAAGCAAUAGGGAUUGUUUCUUGAAUCGGGUCCUUUCUCGAGGAAAGGUUUGUCUCGAGAAUUGAGUGGGAGGAUAGUGGAGACUUGAUGAGGUUAUUGAACCGUCACUUCAACAAGUGUGUAGCAGGGCACGUGAAGUUUUUCCUGUGGCACCUACACCAAUUGAAGUAGAAGCUUAUGAUAGUGAUCAUGAAGUUUCGAAUCAAGUCACUACCGUACCUCGUAGGGUGACAAGGAUGCGUACUACUUCAGAGUGGUACAGUAAUCAUGUCUUGAAGGUCAUGUUGCUAGACAACAAUGAACCUACGAGCUAUGGAGAAGCGAUGGUGGGCCCGGAUUCCAACAAAUGGUUAAAAGCCAUGAAAUCCGAGAUUGGAUCCAUGUAUCAGAAAAAAGCAUGGACUUUGGUGGACUUGCCCGUUGAUCGGCAAGCCAUUGAGAUAAAUGGAUCUUUAAGAAGAAGACCGACGUGGUCGGUAAUGUCACCGUCUAUGAAGCUCGACUUGUGGCAAAGAGUUUUUCACAAGUUCAAGGAGUUGACUACGAUGAGAUUUUCUCAUCCGUAGCGAUGCUUAAAUCCAUCGGAAUCAUGUUAGCAUUAGCUGCAUUUAUGAAAUCUGGCAGAUGGAUGUCAAAAUGAGUUUCCUUACCAGUUUUGUAAGGGAAGGUAUGUGAUACAAUCGGAAAGUUUUUUUCGAUCCUAAGGAUGCUAAAAGGUAUGUUGGCUCCAGCGAUCCUUCUAAGGACUGGAGUAAGCAUCUCGGAGUUGGAAUAUACGCUUUGAUGAUAUGAUCAAAGAUUUUGGGUUUAUACAAAGUUUGUGAGAAACUUGUAUUUCCAAAGAAGUGAGUGGGAGCACUAUAGAAUUUCUGAUGAGUAUAUGUCGUUGACAUAUUGAUGAUCAGAAAUGAUGUAGAAUUUUUUGUAAAGCAUAUAGGGUUAUUUGAAAAGUGUUUUUCAAGUGAAAACCUGGAUUAAGCUACUUAAACAUUGAGCAUCAAGAUCUAUGAGGAUAGAUCAAAACCGCUUAAUGGUACUUUCAAAUGAGCACAUACCUUGACAUAAUCUUGAAGGUGUUCAAGAUGGAUCAGUCAAAGAAGGAGUUCUUGCCAGAGUUGUAAGGUAUGAAGUUAAAGAGUUAAGGCUCGACCACGGCAGAAAAGAGAGAAAGGACGAAGGUCGUCCCCUAUGCCUUAGACGUAGGCUCUACAGUAUGCUAUGCUGUGUACCGCACCGGAAGUGUGCCUUGCCAUGAGUCAGUCAAGGGGUAUAAGAAUGAUCCAGGAAUGGAUCAUUGGACAGCGGUCAAAAUUGUCCUUGGAGUAAAUAAGGACAUGUUUCUCGAUUAUGGAGGUGAUAAAGAGUUCGGCGUAAAGGGUUACGUCGAUGCAAGCUUUAACACCUAUCCGAGUGACUCUGAGUAGCAAACCGGAUAUGUAUAGUGGAGCAACCAUUUGGAAUAGCUCCAAGUGGAGCGUGGAAGCAGAGUUCACAAUAUGACCUAGAAAUUUGCAAAGCACACACGGAUCUGAAAAGGUUCAGAUCCGUUGACUAAAACCUCUCUCACAAGCAAAACAUGAUCAAACCCCAGAACUCAUUGAGUCUUUAUCACAUGAUGAUGUGAACUAGUUUAGUGACACUAGUAAACUCUUUGGAUGUUGGUCACAUGGCGAUGUGACCUAUCAGUGUUAAUCACAUGGCGAUGUGAACUAGAUUAUUGACUCUAGUGCAAGUGGGAGACUGUUGGAAAUAUGCCCUAGAGGCAAUAAUAAAUUAGUUAUUAUUAUAUUUCCUUUUUCAUGAUAAUCAUUUAUUAUCCAUGCUAUAAUUGUAUUGAUAGGAAACUCAGAUACAUGUGUGGAUACAUAGACAACACCAUGUCCCUAGUAAGCCUCAAAUUGACUAGCUCGUUGAUCAAUAGAUGGUUACGGUUUCCUGACCAUGGACAUUGGAUGUCGUUGAUAACGGGAUCACAUCAUUAGGAGAAUGAUGUGAUGGACAAGACCCAAUCUUAAGCCUAGCACAGAGAUCGUGUAGUUUGUAUGCUAAAGCUUCUCUAAUGUCAAGUAUCAUUUCCUUAGACCAUGAGAUUGUGCAACUCCCGGAUACCGUAGGAAUGCUUUGGGUGUACCAAACGUCACAACGUAACUGGGUGGCUAUAAAGGUGCACUACAGGUAUCUCCGAAAGUGUCUAUUGGGUUGGCACGAAUCGAGACUGGGAUUUGUCACUCCGUGUAAACGGAGAGGUAUCUUUGGGCCCACUCGGUCGGACAUCAUCAUAAUGUGCACAAUGUGACCAAGGGGUUGAUCACGGGAUGAUGUCUUAUGGAACGAGUAAAGAGACUUGCCGGUAACGAGAUUGAACAAGGUAUCGGGAUACCGAUGAUCGAAUCUCGGGCAAGUACAAUACCGCUAGACAAAGGGAAUUGUAUACGGGAUCGAUUGAGUCCUUGACAUCGUGGUUCAUCCGAUGAGAUCAUCGUGGAACAUGUGGGAGCCAACAUGGGUAUCCAGAUCCCGCUGUUGGUUAUUGACCGGAGAACGUCUCGGUCAUGUCUACAUGUCUCCCGAACCCGUAGGGUCUACACACUUAAGGUUCCAUGACGCUAGGGUUAUAAAGGAAGUUUGUAUGUGGUUACCGAAUGUUGUUCGGAGUCCUAGAUGAGAUCCCGGACGUCACGAGGAGUUCCGGAAUGGUCCGGAGGUAAAGAUUUAUAUAUGGGAAGUCCUGUUUUGGUCACCGGAAAAGUUUCAGGUUUUUCCGGUAACGUACCGGGACCACCGGGAGGGUCCCGGGGGUCCACCAAGUGGGGCCACCAACCCUGGAGGGCUGCAUGGUCCAAGUGUGGGAGGGGACCAGCCCCAGGUGGGCUGGUGCGCCCCCCCCCCCCCACAGGGCCCAAGGCGCAAGGAAGUGGGGAAGGGGGCAAACCCUAGGGCAGAUGGGCCCUAAGGCCCACCCUAGGUGCGCCUCCCCCCUCUCCCCCUCUGGCCGCCACCCAGAUGGCAUCUGGGGGCUGCCGCCACCCUUCGGGAGGGAACCCUAGAGGGGGCGCAGCCCCCUCCCCUCCCCCUAUAAAUACAUGAGGUCUGGGGUCUGCCCAACACACGAGUUCCUCCCCCUAUUGGCGCAGCCCUACCUCUCUUACUCCUCCUCUCCCGUGGUGCUUGGCGAAGCCCUGCAGGAUUGCCACACUCCUCCACCACCACCACACCAUUGUGCUGCUGCUGGAUGGAGUCUUCCUCAACCUCUCCCUCUCUCCUUGCUGGAUCAAGGCAUGGGAGACGUCACCGGGCUGUACGUGUGUUGAACGCAGAGGUGACGUCCGUUCGGCACUAGGAUCUCCGGUGAUUUGGAUCACGACGAGUACGACUCCUUCAACCCCAUUCUCUUGAACGCUUCCGCUUAGAGAUCUACAAGGGUAUGUAGAUGCACUCUCCUUGCCCUUGUUGCUGGUUUCUCCAUAGAUAGAUCUUGGUGACACGUAGGAAAAUUUUGAAUUUUUGCUAUGUUCACCAACAUCAGAUGCUUCUAAACAAGCAAGGGGCAUCGCUUCCUACUCCUAAAAUGAAGAGAACACACAUGUGGCGCUAUGAUUGAUGUAGCAAAAAGAAGGCAUCUGUGCAGUCUGUUUCAUCCUACUGAUUGUGCCGCUUGUGAGGCACCGAUUUCAAUUUGUAGGCACGCUGGUGUUCUGGAGUUUGCGAAACCAGAGGAGGAGGCUGAACAGAGAACCUUUGUUGUCUCCGGCAUUGACAUUCACGUGAAGCUUCUCAACCAGGUAGACGCACACCGGCAUCCUUCCGUGGCCGG